CUCAGGAUGAACGCUGGCGGCGUGCCUAAUACAUGCAAGUCGAGCGAACAGACGAGGAGCUUGCUCCUUUGAYGUUAGCGGCGGACGGGUGAGUAACACGUAGGUAACCUACCUAUAAGACUGGGAUAACUUCGGGAAACCGGAGCUAAUACCGGAUAAUAUUUCGAACCGCAUGGUUCGAUAGUGAAAGAUGGCUUUGCUAUCACUUAUAGAUGGACCUGCGCCGUAUUAGCUAGUUGGUAAGGUAACGGCUUACCAAGGCAACGAUACGUAGCCGACCUGAGAGGGUGAUCGGCCACACUGGAACUGAGACACGGUCCAGACUCCUACGGGAGGCAGCAGUAGGGAAUCUUCCGCAAUGGGCGAAAGCCUGACGGAGCAACGCCGCGUGAGUGAUGAAGGUCUUCGGAUCGUAAAACUCUGUUAUUAGGGAAGAACAAACGUGUAAGUAACUGUGCACGUCUUGACGGUACCUAAUCAGAAAGCCACGGCUAACUACGUGCCAGCAGCCGCGGUAAUACGUAGGUGGCAAGCGUUAUCCGGAAUUAUUGGGCGUAAAGCGCGCGUAGGCGGUUUUUUAAGUCUGAUGUGAAAGCCCACGGCUCAACCGUGGAGGGUCAUUGGAAACUGGAAAACUUGAGUGCAGAAGAGGAAAGUGGAAUUCCAUGUGUAGCGGUGAAAUGCGCAGAGAUAUGGAGGAACACCAGUGGCGAAGGCGACUUUCUGGUCUGUAACUGACGCUGAUGUGCGAAAGCGUGGGGAUCAAACAGG
rnacentral:rRNA from 1 species